UACGUAUGGUGCAAGCGUUAUCCGGAUUUACUGGGUGUAAAGGGAGCGUAGACGGCUGUGUAAGUCUGAAGUGAAAGCCCGGGGCUCAACCCCGGGAGUGCUUUGGAAACUAUGCAGCUAGAGUGUCGGAGAGGUAAGUGGAAUUCCCAGUGUAGCGGUGAAAUGCGUAGAUAUUGGGAGGAACACCAGUGGCGAAGGCGGCUUACUGGACGAUGACUGACGUUGAGGCUCGAAAGCGUGGGGAGCAAACAGG
rnacentral:rRNA from 1 species